rnacentral:rRNA from 1 species
UUGAACGCUGGCGGCAUGCUUUACACAUGCAAGUCGAACGGCAGCGGGGGCUUCGGCCUGCCGGCGAGUGGCGAACGGGUGAGUAAUGCAUCGGAACGUACCCAGUCGUGGGGGAUAACUACGCGAAAGCGUAGCUAAUACCGCAUACGCCCUGAGGGGGAAAGCGGGGGACCUUCGGGCCUCGCGCGAUUGGAGCGGCUGAUGUCGGAUUAGCUAGUUGGUGGGGUAAAGGCCUACCAAGGCGACGAUCCGUAGCUGGUCUGAGAGGAUGAUCAGCCACACUGGGACUGAGACACGGCCCAGACUCCUACGGGAGGCAGCAGUGGGGAAUUUUGGACAAUGGGGGAAACCCUGAUCCAGCCAUUCCGCGUGAGUGAAGAAGGCCUUCGGGUUGUAAAGCUCUUUCAGGAGGGAAGAAACGGUUACGGAUAAUACCUGUGACUAAUGACGGUACCUUCAGAAGAAGCACCGGCUAACUACGU